CAGUAGCCACGGUAAUCCGUAGGUCCCGAGCGUUGUCCGGAUUUAUUGGGCGUAAAGGGAGCGCAGGCGGUUUAGUAAGUCUGAAGUUAAAGGCAUUGGCUCAACCAAUGUAUGCUUUGGAAACUGUUAGACUUGAGUGCAGAAGGGGAGAGUGGAAUUCCAUGUGUAGCGGUGAAAUGCGUAGAUAUAUGGAGGAACACCGGUGGCGAAAGCGGCUCUCUGGUCUGUCACUGACGCUGGGGCUCGAAAGCGUGGGUAGCGAACAGGAUUAGAUACCCCGGUAGUCCCUGUCUCUUAUACC
rnacentral:rRNA from 1 species